GAUGAAACGUUGGCGGCGUGCCUAAUACAUGCAAGUCGAACGAAGACUGUAGUAAUACUGUCUUAGUGGCGAACGGGUGAGUAACGCGUGGGUGACCUGCCCCGAAGUGUGGGAUAACAGUCCGAAAGGAUUGCUAAUACUGCAUAAUAUCCAAGAGAUUAGAUGCUUUUGGAUUAAAGGAGUAAUUCGCUUCGGGAGGGGCCCGCGUCCCAUCAGCUAGUUGGUAAGGUAAUGACUUACCAAGGCGAUGACGGGUAGGGGACCUGAGAGGGUGGCCCCCCCACAAUGGAACUGAAACACGGUCCAUACACCUACGGGUGGCAGCAGUAGGGAAUAUUAGUAAUGGGCGAAAGCCUGAACUAGCAACGCCGCGUGUGCGAAGAAGGCCUUCGGGUCGUAAAGCACUUUUUGAGAGGAUGAGGAAGGACGGUACUCUCAGAAUAAGUCUCGGCUAACUACGUG
rnacentral:rRNA from 1 species